AUGGGUUGGACCCUUCUCUUCUUGUUCCUCCUUCACUGUACAGGGUCUUUCUCCCAACCUGUGCUGACUCAGUCACCCACAGCCUCGGCAUCCUUAGGAUCCUCAGUCAAACUCACCUGCACCUUGAAUAGUGACUACAGCACCAUCACCAUUUAUUGGUACCAGCAACAGCCAGACAAGGCUCCUAAGUAUCUGAUGUAUGUUAACAGUUAUGGAAGCCAUGGAAAGGGAGAUGGGAUCCCUGAUCGCUUCUCUGGCUCCGGCUCUGGAGCUCAGCGCUACUUAAGCAUCUCCAACAUUCAGCCUGAAGAUGAAGCUAACUAUUUCUGUGGUACAUAUGGUAGCAGUGUUUAUACACAGUGA